UACGUAGGGUGCAAGCGUUGUCCGGAAUUAUUGGGCGUAAAGAGCUCGUAGGCGGUCUGUCACGUCGGCUGUGAAAACCCGAGGCUCAACCUCGGGCCUGCAGUCGAUACGGGCAUCACUGGAGUUCGGCAGGGGAGACUGGAAUUCCUGGUGUAGCGGUGAAAUGCGCAGAUAUCAGGAGGAACACCGGUGGCGAAGGCGGGUCUCUGGGCCGAUACUGACGCUGAGGAGCGAAAGCCGUGGGGAGCGAACAGG
rnacentral:rRNA from 1 species